rnacentral:lncRNA from 1 species
UCGUUUGGGUGAUUUUUCAUGAUUAAGGUCCUUAAUGCACGGAUUAGCGUCUCCUGAAGUGCCUCCACAGAAUUGACAUUUUCUAUUCCAGAGCGAUCAGCAGAUACCAGGACAACCGCUGUAAAUAAACUCAUCUCCUCAUCACUAAGUUGCAGGGCAUUUAGUUUCUCACUAAAUUCAAACAUGGAAUUGAGUAGAUCACCAGCUCCC